rnacentral:rRNA from 1 species
AGAGUUUGAUCCUGGCUCAGGAUGAACGCUGGCGGCGCGCUUAAGACAAUGCAAGUCGAACGGUUCAACAACAUUGCAAAGAAUGAAGAUUUAUCAGAUUUCCGGAGCGCCGUUGUUGAAUAGUGGCGGACGGGUUGAGUAACACGUGAGCAACCUGCCUUCAAGAGGGGGAUAACAGAGAGAAAUUUCUGCUAAUACCGCAUAAGACCACGCUACCGCAUGGUAGAGAGGUCAAAGGAGAAAUCCGCUUGAAGAUGGGCUCGCGGCUGAUUAGCUAGUUGGUGAGGUAACGGCCCACCAAGGCGACGAUCAGUAGCCGAACUGAGAGGUUGAUCGGCCACAUUGGGACUGAGACACGGCCCAGACUCCUACGGGAGGCAGCAGUCGGGAAUAUUGCACAAUGGGGGAAACCCUGAUGCAGCGACGCCGCGUAAAGGAAGAAGGUCUUCGGAUUGUAAACUUUUGUCGACAGGGAAGAUAAUGACAGUACCUGUGGAGGAAGCCCCGGCUAACUACGUGCCAGCAGCCGCGGU